CCGGGCCGCUUCCCGGCGUGGUGGGGGCCGCCCGGGCUGCCCGCAGAGGCUGCCCUGGGUGUGCUCCUGAGAGCAGCCCCGGCUCAGCGAUGCUCUCCGCCUCCUGCCUGUGCUCAUGCCCUGCCUAGGGCCGACCGCGACCCCAGAGCCCCAGCGCCCCCACCUCUCUCCCGGGUUUCAGGGCUCAGAAGCCUGUCGGAGGGUGGUCCAGACCACCCGGUUCCCAAGAGCGCACCUUUAGACGGCACGUCUAGCCGUUUUCUAAAUCUAACAAGACUAUUGAGGGUCCAGAUCCUUCGAGAAUGAACAUUCCUUUAGCAAUCAACAGCCACAACCAGCUGCAGCCUGCACAGACUACAGACAACUCUAAUGAGAGAACAUACAAUUUGGGAAGUAAAAUUUCUUGCCAUGGCAAAUGCACAGGAAACAGAAAUGCGCCCACAGGAAGAAGAGAAGCAGAACUGUGGAGAACCCAGCAGGGCUGUCACGGCCGCGCAGGAAGAGUCUUGAAUUGGGUGUUGCUGCACAAACCUGUAGUUCCAGCACUUACGAGACAGGAGUGGGAGGAACACCAUGAGUCCAAACCUAACCUGAGCUACACAGAGAAGUUCUAUCUGGAGAAAACAAGAGAGGAAGAAUGCAUGGCAACAAGCAGAGAAGGACUGAGAUGCUGAGGAGCAAGAAGAGAUGGGAAAAGAGAAAGAAAUGGUGGGAGGGGAGGAGGGAUUCCUAUGUAGCUGAAGUUGGCUGCAAACUCAUGACGACUCUGCCUCAGUCUCCUCCUGCUUACACUAAGUGCAAACAUGCACCAAGUCAGCUGCCCUCAUUCCUAAACAAAUCUCAACCAAUGUAUUCUUCUACUAUCCCUCUCAUGCAACUUGUUUUUCUCUUAGUACUCUUCUCAGGCACCAUGGUUCUCCAUGACUCUGAUUCUUUGAUUUUCCUUCUCUUUUAAAUACACUCUUCUCUUGGAUCAUUUUGAAUCCCCACCAAUAAACCAGUGAUGACCAAAUUCGUAUAA